rnacentral:rRNA from 1 species
CUACGGGGCGCUCCAGAGGGGAAUAUUGCACAAUGGGCGCAAGCCUGAUGCAGCCAUGCCGCGUGUAUGAAGAAGGCCUUCGGGUUGUAAAGUACUUUCAGCGGGGAGGAAGGGAGUAAAGUUAAUACCUUUGCUCAUUGACGUUACCCGCAGAAGAAGCACCGGCUAACUCCGUGCCAGCAGCCGCGGUAAUACGGAGGGUGCAAGCGUUAAUCGGAAUUACUGGGCGUAAAGCGCACGCAGGCGGUUUGUUAAGUCAGAUGUGAAAUCCCCGGGCUCAACCUGGGAACUGCAUCUGUAACUGGCAAGCUUGAGUCUCGUAGAGGGGGGUAGAAUUCCAGGUGUAGCGGUGAAAUGCGUAGAGAUCUGGAGGAAUACCGGUGGCGAAGGCGGCCCCCUGGACGAAGACUGACGCUCAGGUGCGAAAGCGUGGGGAGCAAACAGGAUCAGAUACCCGCGUAGUC